GACGAAUGCUGGCGGCGUGCUUAACACAUGCAAGUCGAACGAAGUGGCGAACGGGUGAGUAACGCGUAAUCAACCUGCCCUUCAGAGGGGGACAACAGUUGGAAACGACUGCUAAUACCGCAUACUGAAGGAGGGGAUUGCGUCUGAUUAGCUAGUUGGAGGGGUAACGGCCCACCAAGGCGAUGAUCAGUAGCCGGGCUGAGAGGAUGAACGGCCACAUUGGGACGGAGACACGGCCCAGACUCCUACGGGAGGCAGCAGUGGGGAAUAUUGCACAAUGGGCGCAAGCCUGAUGCAGCCAUGCCGCGUGUAUGAAGAAGGCCCUAGGGUUGUAAAGCUCUGUUAAUCGGGACGCGGUACCGGAAUAGAAAGCCACGGCUAACUACGUGCCAGCCGCCGCGGUAAUAC
rnacentral:rRNA from 1 species